UACAGGGGGGGCAAGCGUUGUUCGGAAUUACUGGGCGUAAAGGGUUCGUAGGUGGCCAACUAAGUCAGACGUGAAAUCCCUCAGCUUAACUGGGGAACUGCGUCUGAAACUGGUUGGCUUGAGUGAAGGAGAGGAAUGCGGAAUUCCAGGUGUAGCGGUGAAAUGCGUAGAUAUCUGGAGGAACACCGGUGGCGAAGGCGGCAUUCUGGACUGUAACUGACACUGAGGAACGAAAGCCAGGGGAGCAAACGGG
rnacentral:rRNA from 1 species